AUCCUGCCAAAGCAAAAGGCUGAGGGCAACUUUAGCGAAAAGAAGGGGCUGAGGGCAACUUUAGCGAAAAGAAGGGGCUGAGGGCAUCUUCGGCAGUUUAGGAAGAAUAUCAGUUCAGAGAAAUAUCCCCCCUUUGAGAAUCGUUAUUUUAACCAUAAGAUGGAGCUCAUCUCUUUACGCUUCUCGCCAUUUAUAACAACAACCGGAAUGUUGAAAUCUAGAGAUUGCAAUGCGUUAUCUACACGCAUUUAUCCUCUUGGUUCUACCAAGUCAAAAGAAUCUGCUAGCAGAGGAUUCAGAGUAACUUCUGCACUUGCAGAAACAGCAGUGUCUAUUGCAGUUGCUGCCACAGUUGUGGGUGCUGCCGCAACUAUUCUUGUAAGGAGAACUAAAGCUUCGGAAGCAAUUGAGGCCCCGCCGAAAAUCUGUGAAGACUGCGGUGGCUCUGGAAUUUGUGCAGAAUGCAGAGGGGAAGGAUUUGUGCUAAAAAGGAUGUCCGAUGAAAAUUCUGAGAGAGCAAGACUGAUGGCAAAGAAUGCAGCUACAAGAUAUACAGCAGGGCUUCCCAAAAAAUGGAGCUACUGUAUGAAAUGCAACGCGGCUCGCUCCUGUAAUUCAUGUGGCGGCAGUGGGAAGUUGAACUAAUUGUUAAAUUGCCUUGUGAUAUACAAUAUCAUUCAAUUGUGUCAAUAUAGUGCUCCUCUUUCAAUGAGGAUAUUAGCGACUGGGAUCAAUCAGCUAAUCCGGUACCGAGUCAGCAUUUUCCUUUCCAAAUUCAUUACUGGGACAUGAAGGAGCUAGAUUUGGAGUACAAAUCAAGAUUGCAUCAAUUGUAAUGUAGUCUCUCGACUGUGUCGCAAUCUGACCUAUUUUACUAGUAAUAUCCGAAAUUGAUCAACACCCUACUACUCUCCAUUCCGUUAAUUAACCGUGUGAACUUGGGUACAUAGGCUUUACUUCCACGAACAAUUUCCAGUUCAAUCAGAUUUGAAGUCUAUAGUAGAUUAACUUUGAGGGCUAAAACGGGUACACACUCGAAUUAAGCUUUGAUGUAGCUUUGACUUGAAAGAUGAAAAAGAAAUGGAAAUAUUCAUGCUUUGGCCUCCACAUCUGUGCUCAUGUAGUUUACCCUGCACCUGUGUUUCAAAAAAAAAAAAUAGAUAUUAGUUGAUGUGUAAUUACUUAAUAUAGCUUAGUUUUGUUUGGUAUUGGUUAGGACAGCUACUGUAUAAUUUGAUUUACUUUGGACUGUUAACGGACUAUCUAGUUGCUG